CCGUUUUUAGGCGGGCACGUGGGCUGUAAAUUAUGAGUGAUUAUAAUAAAAACGAUAUCACCACAGCACAGCGUGGCUACAAACGCUACCUGGCUGACCAAAUGGAUGUUACAGGAAGAACACAUAGACGAUGGAAAAGGAUAAGACAAGUAGCUUCACUAGUGUUUAAUUUAUUAAAGCUGUUCAGUCAUAAUACGAUAGUAUAUAUUCUAAACCUUUAUUUUUAUUUUAUAGGAACAAGGAACAAUCAAGUCAAGCAGAAACAACGGGUUCUUUAACACAUGACGAGAUUCGUAUUGUAAGCAACACUGAAGAUGAUGACAGUCUAGAAACUGAUGAAGACGUUUAUGUACCAGAAUCCAGUAAUCUAGUAGAAGGGGAACCUGAAAUAACCCCAAGUGAACAGGAGAAUGCAGAUCUUGAGUCAAUUACCACGGAACAGGACAUUGAGAAUCCUGGCAGUGAACCUUUUCAUUCUCUUGAUGAAUCUACACAAGAAAAGUACCUGCAAGAGGGUGACAAAGUGUAUUCGUCUCAACAACAGAAUGGCCUGCUGCUCAUGGCAUUGAAAAUGAAGCACAAGCUUACCAAGGAAGCAGUCUCUGACAUGCUGGACAUUAUUAAUCUAUUGGCUGGUAAAGACACUGUACCACAAUCUUGGUACCACUUAGAAAAACAGUUUGAAGGUUUAAAAUAUUUUGUAGAAAUACAUCAUGUUUGCAAUUUCUGUGAAUCUUACUUAGGUAAAGAAACCUCUGAGAAAUGCACUUACUGUGAGGUACAGGGUACAAUAAUUGUAAUAAUGUUGUAGAUAAAAGGCAGUUGUUAAAAUUUUUGUUAAAUUUUAGCCUCUGCUUAUACAUGUUUCAAACUACCAUGUGUUUUUUUCUGUGCAAUGUAUUUGACCUACAAAUGUACAAUAAACAGUAAAAAGCUA